CUGUAGCCCAAGCUGGUCUCAAACUCACAAUGAUCCUCCAGCCGUGUGCUACCACAUCUGGCUAAAUGUGACAAUUUUGUACAAUGGAAAGAGACCUCCUAUGAACUUGCUCUUAGAACUCUGUUUUUUUCUUUCUUUUUCUGUGGUGCUGGGGAUUGAACCCAAGGCCUUCUCACUGAGCUACACCCUCAGCCUUUUUGAGACAGGGUCUCAGUAAGUUGCCCAGGCUGGGCUUGAACUCGCAAUCCUCCCGCGUCAGGCUCCCAACGUGCUGGGAUUACAGGCAUGCAACAUUCUGCCUAAUUCUUUAUUGAAUUUGAAAAUGCCUGAAGGUGGCUGAAUGUUUAUUCGUCUUCCUUUUUAAACUGGGGGUCAUCUCCGUUAUGAGGCUGGAAGGGGAGGAGAGGGCACAGGACAGGACGCGAGAAUUCCACAUGCAUCCAUCAGCCGUGACGAGGACUCAGGCACUGGGCGCUCCCAGAAGGCUGCCGGCCCUUGCUGUUCCUCAGUAACGCUUGUUACUAUUUUAAGAACCAGGCAACAAGCAAGAAAACCUUGUUUUAAAGAAACUCAGCACCUGGAAGCCUCCACUGACACAAAGAAGCCUUCAGAAGCAACUUCCUCGAGAGCUCUUCUUGCAGGACUCCGAGAAAAAGCAAGCUUCCUGCUGCCUGGACGAGGGUGUGCGACACGCUUCCCACUGGCAGGCACCUCUGUGCUUACCUCCAGGAGGGAUUUUUUUUUUCUGAAAAGCCUCCUCCUCCUGCAAGCUGAGGAAGACAGAUGGACAACGGAAGGAACAUUUCCCAACCUGGCAUGGGACAAAUGCCAGUUAACAAACGAUCCCGGCUGCCUGUCCCCAUUUUCUCCUGAACACCCAGAGCUCAUGGUCAUCAUCUUCAGGGUCCCGCCAGGCCUGCAUGGCGACCUCCCUGCGAGCCUGAGGCUCUCUGUGGGGUCCACCUGCAGCAGCACAGCAGUACUCCAUGGCGUGUCACCGAUGCACUCUUUAUCUGUUCCUCUGAUGAUGGACAUGUAGGCAGCUUCCAAGAUUUAGCUACUGCGAAUUGUGCGGCUGUCAACAUAGGUGUGCGUGGAUCCCUGUAACGUGAUGUCUAAUUCUUCUGGGAGGAUGCCUAGAAGGAGCAGCUGGGCCCAGCGGGCAUGAGAGGAUGCAGGUUCCUUCUUCAGGGCUCCUGACGCCCUGGCGCCGCCCCUCCGCCUGGUGCGCACUGCUUUUGGACAAAGCCCUGAGCACACCCCCAGCUGCCCUGGCUGUGCUGUCUGCUCCCUCCCGAGCUCGGGGCCGGCUGCAGAGCUGGGGCUCGGGAGAAGGGCCUGGGCAGAGGAGCCCCCGGCAGGGUGCGUUGCCUCAGCAGCAGCCAGCCUGGAUCGGCUCCCCAUGCUUCAGAGGAGAUGCGUUCAGACCAGCAAAAGAAACAGAGGGCAGCAGCUGCUUCUGGACACUGAUCUGGGCCAAGUCAGCAGGCGCUGGCAGGGAGCACCUUGGACUCCCCCAGGGAUGCACUGGGGGUCAGGGGCAGGAGGGUAAAGGUCAGUGAAAGACCUCAUGAUGAGCUGACCAUCUCCUCCAUGAGCACGUGCACUCCCCAGGCUGCAGAAGGGCCCAGGAGUCCACCCCAAGCCAUUGUCACUUGGUGGUAAGAUCAAGGUGGCUGGAAGCUUGCAAACAGGUGCUCCUCACCCCUCCGUGGGGAGCUCCUGGGCUCCCUGUCCCGGGAGCCGCAGAGGGACAGUGCGCUCGGGCCGUACUGCAUCUGGACCUGGGUCCGGCAUGCCUGAGGGUGCUGUGCUGCUGGUAUCCACAACGACUGGUGUCAGAGGUCAGGAGAAAGGAUGAGAAAGGAUGAAGGGGAAGCCCUGUGGGAGAUACCCCUGAGGCCAGGUGGUCACCUGGAGGAAAGGCCGAGAGAAAUAACCGGGAAGGGAACAGUCCCGCUGUCCAGGGAGCUGGAGGGAAACACGGAGGAAGCACUCACUCCCACCCACGGGAAGCUGCACCCUGCCUGUCCCUGGUUCUGCCAUGUGGGUGCUCAUCACACACACUGAAAUCAGAGGCCUGGGGUGCGCCCACCCCACGGGGUUCACACUGCCGAGUUCAAAGGCGUCCGGCACACCCUUGGCUGACCUAUUGCUCAGACUCAGUCAGCGGGUGUUCCCAAGCUGCUCUGAGGGCAGGGCGAUGCUGGGCGUGUGUGUGCUGGCUGUGCGUGAUCCGCCCACCCCAGCAUCUCGGCCUCCCCACGCCUCCCAUCUCUGCCUUCUGCAUCAUGCCAAAGGGCCCUGGGAAACCGCACUGCAGGGCCCCUGCGCCCCACUGGCAGCCGGCCAAGCCAGCAAUCUCUGCAAGCCCCUUCCGGCCGCUGGAGCAGACACAGGAUAUUCAGAACCUCUCCAUUUCUUUCCCGUCCGAGGCACCCAGAGUCCACUCCCCCACAUGCAGUCCUCAGGCUGGCACAACCAUGAGCAACUCUCGCCGUGCAUUUGCAGGGCUGCCUUCCUGGCACCCUCCUCUCCUGGGCCCUGAGGCCAUGUCCCAGGGAGCACCUGCCAGUGUGAACUGCCAGGGAAGGGGCCUGGGCUGAGCCAGGGCUCCUCCAGCCACCCUGGCAUUUCCGCCUACGUGAGGAGUUCCUCAGGAAGUGAGCUUUACUGACAGAUGUUCAGCUCUGCUUUAGUGUCCUGCCAGAGACGUGACUUUGACAGCGAAGAAUCCCUGUGAUCAGGAUGAGCCCGAGGAGGUGCCCCUGAGCUCUCCCACCCCACAAAGCUGCUCUUUGGAGCUAACUUCACUGGCUGGGGCAGAGGACCCCAUAUGCACCUGAACGGUGUUUUGAACUCCCGCCUUUGGAUAUUCAGAACCUCUCCAUUUCUUUCCCGUCCGAGGCACCAAGAGUCCACUCCCCCAUAUGCAGUCCUGAACCCGCCCAAUACCAGGCUGCUUCACCCAAGAGAGCCAGGAAGACCAGCGGGGCCGGGGCUGCUUGGAAGGGACGUGGGUGCCUGGCUGAGCCUGCAGCUCCUGCCAGCCAGCGCCCCUCCAGGCCCUGCAUCUCCCGGGAGGCCCAGGGGUGCGGCCAUGGCCCCGAUUUAGGGGUGAGGAGAUGAAGACUCAGCCUCACUGCAUGCUUUCCAGCGUCUACAGUGGAACAACUGGAAACCUUGGGUGGCCUCUGAAACGCAGGAGAAAGCACAGGAGGUGGCGACGCAAGCUGGCCUCGGCCAAGGGGAGAUCGAGUUUUAUGCUUUCCGCCUGGAGACUGGCUACUGACCCAGGUGCAAGGUUAAAAGCUGAACUCGGCAGCAGUGUUCAGAACAAGUGCAACAAGAAGCGCCUCUUUCCCCAACUGGUAGAAUUUUUUUUCCUCUAAGGAGGCUCAAUUCCUGAGUGAUAGUCAAAAGCUUUCUGAAAAAUAAGCCCUGGAGAGAGAGCUGGGAUGUGCGCCCGGCAGUUGUCAUGUAACUGGAUUCCAGGCCUGGGGUCUCAGCUCCUUGCUGGUGAGAUGGGGACAGCGGUCCCUGGGGACAGGUUCUGCGGAAGGAGCCAGCAUGGGGCAGAAAUGAGAACGGCGGAGCCCAGGACCCUGGGGUUUUACGCCUUUUCCCCUUGGGGCUGCCACUGUGCUCACAAGACAGCGCGAUUCCACCUGUUCCAAGAAUUCCGCACCAAGUUCCUCAGACCCAGUGUCUACGAGUGUUGGCCUUAAUGCUACAAGAUGGGGUAAAGAGUGAUUCAAAAGACAAACCAACAAAAUCCACGUGAGCACUAACGGGAACAGGCUGGUCACUGUUGUCACAGGUCGCUAAGUCUUACAGAAAUUAACAGGCAGUCAGAGCCGGCCUGGGUCCUGGACAAGUCAGUGCAAAGAAGAGACGCCAGAGCUGUGCCGGGGACGAACCGAGAGACCAAGGCCUCAAGAUGGACAGGAAGGAGCCAGGCCUAGUGAGCCUCACUAGAGAAAGGCGGCAGCUUGAGGUUAUGCCGUGAGUCCCGCCACCAGGUCCAGUAGGCUCAGAUGGGCCUCAGGCACCUCGGUGAGCGACCAGAGCACCCAGACCGCUAUUCCCCUUCCUUUCCCAAAAUGCCUUUGUUCUUCCCGCAAUGAAGCGGCACUGCAGUGCGACCCACUUUCCUCCUGGGUCAAUAUUAGCUAAGUGGCUAUAGCUGGAUGGCAGUUUGACCCCCGUUGUACCCACGCUGUGAUCGUGCUGGAUGAAUUACCCCUUACGACGGCCACCCACUCGGCACCCCUCCUGGAAACCCAGGCGCUAUCCUCCUCCUCAUUCCCAGUAAAACGCUCCGAACUUCCUCCUCUGGUUCUUGGCUUUACUGCCCCAUGUUGUGGGACCACAAACUCGGCACAUCUGACAUCUAACAGGGGCGGAGUUAUUUUCCCCACCACUUCAGGACUAAGCAGGGAAAACCUGCGUAAUCCACAGGUGUCGGGAGACUUAGUUCCGUCACUCCUGGACAGAAGUGCUAACUGUUACCAGCACAAGGGCAGAACCGGCCAGCAGCUCGCAGGGACAGCUCCUGUGCAGACAGGAAGAGGUGAGACUUCAACUGACCGAGAGAACAGAGGGAGGCAGAGAGACUGGCAUCCCCAUCCACCGAGACAGACUCCAUGACCCACAGCGACCUGCCCACCCCAGGGGACCUGGCUUGGCUCUCAGAAGCUAGGCCUCACGCUCUUGGUGUCCUGAUUUGCUUCUGACUCACUUUCAGCUUGGGAUACUUCGGAUGGAGCCCGUCAGAAAGGGAGGAUGUAACACACUUCCCCUCCCCCUGCUGGGUACACAGCCAUCCCAUCCCCCACUCCUGAGUCCUGGCUGCUAGGACCGAAUCUCCCAGAGUUAAGUGACAUCCAUCAAAACACUUUCCAUUGUUCCCAGACACCAGCGGCCGAGAGGUGGAAAUUACUUGGCAUUUCAUUUUAAUCUGUAUUGAAGACUUGCCUGACAAAACAUAUUAAGUGUAAGAAUUGCCAGCUUGGGAAUGAGGCUCUGUGUAUGGCCGGCCCCUUCCUUGUCUCUCCUAACGGAAAUGACACUUCCUCCCAGCCUGUCCCAGCCCCCACGCCGCCUGAACAUUUCACUCGCCCUCGAAGGGUGAAGCUUUUGCUGGCGGUAUCUAGAAAAUUAUAAUGAACAUCUUGUGGCUCUGCAGUGGCAUCUGAGAUUAAAAAGCAAAACAAAGCACCAAAGCCCAGCAAGCCCUGCCUUUCCUAGGGCGUGAUCGGCAGCAGCUCCGGGAGAAGCAUGCCGUGGCCCUCCAGCUGCGGGCCACUGGAGCCCCGUGCUUCUCUGGAGAGAGACCGUCACCCUGCUGCUCCCGCAAAGGGCGGCCAGUAUGCCAAUGGAUGUGCACCACUACCGGUGGCCACUGCUGCUGGGGACAGUCAUGGAGCUCCAUGGUGACAGACGCUGCUUGUGCUACGGCUUGUACACUCUGGCUCUUCAAGUUUUUAUUUUCAUCUUUUACGUUACUUUCGCAUUGUAUUACCAAAAAAUGGCGGCUCUCACCGAUGGA